rnacentral:rRNA from 1 species
GGGUGGGGCCCGCGCAGUCUGGCGAUUCAACUCGGCGGGUAUUGGGACGGUCGUCGGGUGCGUGGGGAUCCCCUCGUGGGACCUCUCCCCCGUUCGGCUGGCCCCGGCCGGGCGCAUUUCCCCCGUGGCGGUGCGCCGCGACCGGCUCUAGGUCGGCUUGGAAAGGCUCGGGGCGAAGGUGGCUCGCAGGCUCCGGCCGCGUGCUUUAUAGGGCCCUCUGUCUGGACCUCGCCGCUUCCAGGGGCCGUGGAUUAAGUGCUUGCUGCGCCCUCUCUCCCCGCGGGGAGGGACGGAGCCCCCUGCUCCCGGCGCGACUGUCAACCGGGGCGGACUGCCCUCAGUGCGCCCCGACCGCGCCGCGUGCCCCAGGGCGGGGACCGGCUCACGUAAAAGGCGUCAGAGGUCAGCGGUGAUGUCGGCAACCCACYCGAC